UGGCGGGCGCCCCUCCCCCAGCCUCGUUGCCGCCUUGCAGUUUGAUCUCAGACUGCUGUGUUAGCAAUCAGCGAGACUCCGUGGGCAUAGGAACCUCCGAGCCAGGUGCGGGAUGUAAUCUCGUGGUGCACCGUUUUUUAAGCCAGUCCGAAAAGCGCAAUAUUCGGGUGGGAGUGACCCAAUUUUCCAGGUGCGUCCGUCACCCCUUUCUUUGACUCGGAAAGGGAACUCCCUGACCCCUUGCGCUUCCCAAGUGAGGCAAUGCCUCUCCCUGCUUCGGCUCGCACACGGUGCGCGCACCCACUGACCUGUGCCCACUGUCUGGCACUCCCUAGUGAGAUGAACCCGGUACCUCAGAUGGAAAUGCAGAAAUCACCUGUCUUCUGCGUCACUCAAGCUGGGAGCUGUAGACCGGAGCUGUUCCUAUGCGGCCAUCUUGGCUCCUCCCCAGAAUAUGGCCUUUUUAAGAAUGCAGUGGAGGUGAUACUAUGGUCAUAAUGACCAGGGGCUGGGUCAGAAGAACUUCAGAUUGAGCCUCUUGAAACAUUUGCUCUUGGAAUUCUCCCUCUCAGGAAACUAACAGCCUGCUAUGAAGCCCAAGCCACAAAGAGAGGCCAAGGGGAAAUAAACAGAGUGUGAUUAUAUGCAAAACCUACAAGAAUGAGGACCUCCAAACUCAGUGUACAGAGUGAUUUUCUGCUGAAACAAUUGGAAAAUAAAAGAGACAUCAGUGUGUGAAUGACGACUUUCUGUUGCUGACUUGGAAGACAGAGGAAUUGGGUCAUGAGCCGAGGAAGGUGGGCAGCUUCUAAAAGGCGGAAAAGUGGCUGAAGUGAGAGGAAGCGAGGAUAUGGCUGACAUUCUCCAAGAAGCAGUGACUUCAGAAGAUGACUGGCAUCUUGAACUUCAGGAAAAUGCUUGGCCUUUUUAACUCUGAAAGUCUGUUUGAAACUCAGAAGAAGAAAAUUAGGUGAAUACAAAACUGCUGCCAAACUUAGAAACUUGGUUAAAUAUCCUGCAGAAAAUAUCAUGGGCUUUUCAGAGUCCAGUUAAAUAUCUACAGAUUAUAUUUCCAGUUUCAUACCUGGGGCAUUAACUCUAUUCAUUUUACUAGCUUUAGUGAAUUUUACUUCUGGAGCAUAACAUUGCAUUGAAAAUGUGUCCUCUAACCUAUGAUAUUUAUGUAUCGUUUAAUAUGAAAUUUAUGAGGUUCCAUUUCUGAUUUCCAAAUGGAUGCAAAUUAGAACACAGGAUAUUUACAUUCUUUCAUUUCUAACCCACAUACAUAAAGUUUGACUUUAAAAUGCCACUGUUCGUGUCUGUUUCAUAGAAGCUCUAGGUAUUUAUACGUCCAUUGUGUCUCUGGCACACUCUGAAUUCCAGUUUUUAAUCUAAUAUUGGGCAGGAAUUGGCUAUAAAAAUACAAUGCCAUUGAGGACAGAGCUGGAUUGCUUUUUUUCUGUUAAUUCUUGAGAACUUUAUAGUUUCUCAGGGAAGUAUAAUUUGUAACCACAUCAUCAUCUAACACUUUUCCUGUCUUUUUUGGAGAUUGACAGUUGAAAAUCUAUAAGAUCUUUUUGCAACUAAGAUCAGGAAAAA
rnacentral:lncRNA from 1 species